rnacentral:rRNA from 1 species
AGAAUCAACGCUGGCGGCGUGCCUAACACAUGCAAGUCGAACGAGAAAGGGUAGCAAUACCUGAGUAAAGUGGCGCACGGGUGAGUAACACGUGAAUUAUCUACCUCCGAGUGGGGAAUAACUGAGAGAAAUCUUAGCUAAUACCGCAUAACACUUACGAGUCAAAGCAGCAAUGCGCUUGGAGAGGAGUUCGCGGCCGAUUAGUUAGUUGGCGGGGUAAUGGCCCACCAAGACGAUGAUCGGUA